rnacentral:rRNA from 1 species
CCUACGGGACGCUGCAGUGGGGGAUAUUGCACAAUGGGGGCAACCCUGAUGCAGCGACGCCGCGUGAGCGAUGGAGUACUUCGGUAUGUAAAGCUCUGUCAGCAGGGAAGAGAAUGACGGUACCUGACCAAGAAGCCCCUGCUAAAUACGUGCCAGCAGCCGCGGUAAUACGUAUGGGGCAAGCGUUAUCCGGAUUUACUGGGUGUAAAGGGAGCGUAGGCGGCAGGGCAAGCCUGCUGUGAAAGCCCGGGGCUCAACCCCGGGACUGCAUUGGGAACUGCCCCGCUCGAGUGCCGGAGGGGCAGGCGGAAUUCGUAGGGUAGCGGUGAAAUGCGUAGAUAUUAGGAGGAACACCAGUGGCGAAGGCGGCCUGCUGGACGGUGUACUGACGCUGAGGCUCGAAAGCGUGGGGAGCAAACAGGAUUAGAUACCCCUGUAGUC